UAAUACGUAGGGGGCAAGCGUUGUCCGGAUUUAUUGGGCGUAAAGCGCGUGUAGGCGGCCACGCAGGUCCGCUGUGAAAACUCGAGGCUCAACCUCGAGAUGUCGGUGGAAACCGCGUGGCUAGAGUCCGGAAGAGGAGAGUGGAAUUCCCGGUGUAGCGGUGAAAUGCGCAGAUAUCGGGAAGAACACCCAUGGCGAAGGCAGCUCUCUGGGACGGUACUGACGCUGAGACGCGAAAGCGUGGGGAGCGAACAGGAUUAGAUACCCUGGUAGUCCACGCCGUAAACGAUGGAUGCUAGGUGUGGGCGGUGUCGACUCCGUCCGUGCCGAAGCUAACGCAUUAAGCAUCCCGCCUGGGGAGUACGGCCGCAAGGCUA
rnacentral:rRNA from 1 species